CAUGCAUAUAUUUAAAUUUAUUUUUAUUUGGUUUAUUUAAAGAGCUAGAGUCAGCAACACCAUUCAUUUUUGUUUUGGGUUACGUAAUACUUACCAACGCCAGAGUUGGAAGUAUCCGUAGUCGAAUAUUCACUGACGCCAGAGUCAGGAAUAUUAUAAGCAAAUCAUCAUAGCAUAAACUAAUAAACGUUUAGCAAUUUAAGACAAAACCAACAAUGCAGUCUGCCUCAGGCAGAACGUUUAAGGGGUGAUAAUAUCUUCCCUUUUACGUAACCAAUCCCGUACCAUAGAAUCUUUGUUGACCAGUUAGGGUUCCUAGUGACC
rnacentral:lncRNA from 1 species